GAGUUUGAUCCUGGCUCAGAACGAACGCUGGCGGCAGGCCUAACACAUGCAAGUCGAGCGCGCCUUCGGGUGAGCGGCGGACGGGUUAGUAACGCGUGGGAACGUGCCCUUCUCUACGGAAUAGCCUCUGGAAACGGAGAGUAAUACCGUAUACGCCCUUUGGGGGAAAGAUUUAUCGGAGAAGGAUCGGCCCGCGUUAGAUUAGGUAGUUGGUGGGGUAAUGGCCCACCAAGCCUACGAUCUAUAGCUGGUUUCAGAGGAUGAUCAGCAACACUGGGACUGAGACACGGCCCAGACUCCUACGGGAGGCAGCAGUGGGGAAUCUUAGACAAUGGGGGCAACCCUGAUCUAGCCAUGCCGCGUGAGUGAUGAAGGCCUUAGGGUCGUAAAGCUCUUUCGCCUGUGAUGAUAAUGACAGUAGCAGGUAACGACACCCCGGCUAACUCCGUGCCAGCAGCCGCGGUAAU
rnacentral:rRNA from 1 species